CGGGCUGUAGCGCAGUAGGUUAGCGCACUAGUCUGGGGGACUAGGGGUCGCCAGUUCAAGUCUGGCCAGCCCGA
rnacentral:tRNA from 1 species